AGCUGGGGGAUCCUGGGGGAGCACAGAUCUCAGUUAAAAUACUCAAAGCUCAUUUCCAGUUAGUGCCCACCCAGCUGCUCUGCACACGAGGGUGUCCUUCCUCAGGCAGAAGUGUUUGGGGGCAAGUGGAGAUGAACUUUUGUUGAUUUUUUUGUUCCUGUUUGGAAGCUUAACACUGUGACAGCAGCUCCAGAUCAGCAUCUUGGCACUCAGUUCUGCUUGGACAUCUGUUGCCAAAAAAGCAAAUAUUUAGAGGAGGGAGAAGAUGUAGCCAAGGAUGGUGGAUUUCAGCACAUACUGAGAUAAGAAAAGGGCACGAGUGGUCACUGACACGUGUUGUAGUAGGCAAAACAUGCAGAGAAUGUUUUACCUUAUGAGAACAGAGCCUUCUGAUGUGCAUUGAAGUUGGACAUCCAGAAGCUGAAGAAUCAGCUGUAUUAAACUGUAUUUCUUAGGUCAGUAUUUAUAGAGCCUGACAUUUUAAGUGCAGUCUUUGUUUUAAGACAGCCAUGAAGUAAAGAGAAGCUUUCGUCUUCUCACAGAAGCUUCAUGAAGCUUGUAGUUGCCAGUUUGGUUGGGAUAGUGUUACUUUAAUAAAGUUUAUUUUUUUUAAAUGUAGUUGCUGAGGCCAUUCAAAACCAGCAGAUUCUGGAAUGUUUUCCUGCUGAGUCACUGCUUAUUCUGGGAAACUCUGAAGGGAGAGAUACUGGAUGUGGGAGACUAAUGCUUUUAAAUCUACUCAUAAUUAAUAAUGGUUGGAACUUUCCCAUGACACUGCAGCUUCUUUAGAAUUAGCCUGAUGUGUUGGAAUGCAGAUAUCAAUUCUGUUGCCUAACAGCUGUACCCCAAUGCCUUCACAGGUGGGGAUGGUUACUGCGAAUAAGAUGUUUGACCAGCAUUCAGUAGGAACUGUAUUGGCAAGUGCAAUGGUAAGGAAAAGGCCCCUGAUUGGCCGCCACUGUUGCUAAUUGCUAAUUGCUAAUGAUGUGUGUGCUAACCACUAACCCCCAGUGCCCUGCUGUGUGUGUCCCUGGCAUGGCCAGACAGGGCUGCCCCUGCUGCAUUAACCCACUAAGCCCUGGAGAGCAGAAUGUGAAGCUCCUGGUGUCUCUGGCCACUGUCCCCCGUGCUGUGUCUGUGCACACACCCAGAGCUGCUGUGUCCGUGCAGAGGCUCCUGCUGUACCCGGUGUCACUCCCUGUCCUGUGCCACCAGUGCUCGUCCCGUGUCACAGCCCCGGGGGCUCAGGCUGCUGCCAGUGUCCCUGCCAUGCCGAGGGUGGGGUGCGAUGGGAUUUAGGGUCCCUUCCAGCCCAGACCCUUCUGGGCUUGUGUGGCUGCAGCUCCUGCUCAGUGCCAGGCCAGAGCAGGGUCCCAAAUCCCUGCAGCCUGGGGGGCUCAGGAGCAGGGCAGGCUGCACUCAGGGGCUGCUUCCCCCUCCUCCAGGUCAUUCAUUUAGCUCAGAAACCUUCAGCUGGAGCUGUUCUGCAGUAACUGCUGGGUUAACUUCAGGGUUUCAUGUAGAGUUAUGAGUCCCAGUCUCUCUAGGAUGCCUGUCUGCACCUCCUGUGCUUGAAAACAAGGCAUUUAUUUGGAUUUUUUGUUGAUCUAAGUGAUCUAAAUUACUUCCCAUGUGGAGCAGCUGCUGGACUGCAGUAAGGGAUGUCAUGGCACGUUAUAAAUCAGCUUUCCAAAGUCCUGACAAGAUUUUCAGUUACCCUUUUUUGAGCUGCUGGGGAUUUUUCUGGUCUGGUAAUUCUAGCUGCCAGGGCAGUCAGUCACCAGAGAUGCAGCGUUUUGUGGUCCUUUUUUGACAUCUUGAAUAAAAUCCUCCGUUCUUCAGAAGAGGCAAAGACCAUGACAUGCCCUGUUCACACAGGAGACAGGUUUAAUCUGCACUUGGUGUAAAUAACUUCUGCCUCCUUCUGACACCAUCCUUGUUGCUGUUGCUUCUCAGAGUCACAGGUGGUGUUCCCUGGUGGAUGAUUUAGGUGCCAGAUUAUUUUGCUGAGUGUUUUGACAUGAAAGUGCAGAGUAGCUCUCCAGGGGCAUUGGGGAAUCUGAUCCUAAAUCAGCUCAGUGUCCUCGCUCCUUGAGGAAGAGGGGUUUGUGUUCCUGUGCCCAGGGUGUGUGGGAGGAGCAGUCUGAGCUGUUCAGUUGGGCCCAGCCCUGUGUGCCCAAGGGGCCAGCUCUGUCCCCAGAGCCCUCAUUGAUCUUUGCUUUCCCUUCUCUGCCCAAGGAGAUGCCCAGGAAGCCCCGACUCAGUGAGCUGGCCCUGGCUCGGCUGCUAAACUUGCUGUUCCCUUUUUGUGCAGACUCUAAUUGCAGUAUUCCAGAGCCACCUCCAAACCCUCCUCCCGAGCCUCCUGCAGAGCUGGGCAGAGAGCUGCACACCCACCUGCUGCUGGACAUUGACAAUGACACGGAGAGCACGGCGCUGUGACCGCGCUGCGGCGCCGCCUUCCAGCUCCUGGCAACCCCAGACCGACCAGGGAAAGGCUUCUUCUGGCAGCGGGCACAGCUGGGCACAGCUGGCAGGGGGCCUCUGGCACUCAGCUCCAGGCUGGCACAGCUCAGAGCAGACCUGUCAGCAAAUGGAGCCCAGCCUUUGGCCGGGUUUCGCCCUCAGAAGAAGUUUAAUGAUCUGGGUCUGGACAACGGUUUUCAAACUCUUGGAUGGAAGGAAUGAAUUCCUGCAGGAGCUCGCCUAGGAAGCGUGGUCAGUGCUGAUACAGGUGGUAUGAGCAGAAAUUCCAAAAGAAUAAGAAGCAGAACGUUAGUUAUUUAAAGUGCAUGUCUGUAUUAGGGAAAUAAUCCUUCUCACGGCACCGUUAGAGGUUCUUUGUAGUUCUUAGCCCGUCCCAGGAGCUGCCUCCAAGGGACAUUGCCUCUCUCCCAAGGGACAUCCCCUCUCUCCCAAGGGACAUUCCCUCCCGGAUUUGCUGCAGAUUCCCCUCAAGCCAUGAACCAAACCCUGCCCCAGUGCUGGUGGUGACUGCUGGUUCUCAGUCACCUGUGGAACUGUGGAUGCAUCCAGUGCCUUGAAGGACUGUCGUGCUGUAGGAGGAACUUCUGUCUCUUUAAUCAUUUCAUUGCUACGUAGGAGCAGUACUUACCCUGAUUUCAUAGUUAUUUGUAUUAACCUGCUUUGUUCAUGUGCAACUGGCAACUGUUUCACGAGGAAACCGUGGAAAUGGGGUUUGUGCUUUUGUUGAAAACGGUUGAAUUUUGAAAGAACUUUGAAACAGCUGUUUGGAUUCAGAAGUUGAGUGAACAUUUAUAAAAUUAAAGAUUGUUUUUUGUCAA